rnacentral:rRNA from 1 species
UCCGGUUGAUCCUGCCGGAGGCUACUGCUAUCGGGGUCCGACUAAGCCAUGCGAGUUGAGAGGGGUAAGCCCUCGGCAUAUUGCUCAGUAACACGCGGAUAACCUGCCCUUGGGUUCGGGAUAACCCCGGGAAACUGGGACUAAUACCGGAUAGAUCAAGGAAACUGGAAUGUUCUCUGGUUAAAAACUCCGGUGCCCAAGGGUGGGUCUGCGGCCUAUCAGGUAGUAGUGGGUGUAACGUACCUACUAGCCUACGACGGGUAAGGGUUGUGAGAGCAAGAGCCCUGAGAUGGAUUCUGAGACAUGAAUCCAGGCCCUACGGGGUGCAGCAGGCGCGAAAACUUUACACUGCGGGAAACCGCGAUAAGGGGACCCCGAGUGCCAGCACCUAGUGCUGGCUGUCCAGCUGUCCAAAUAACAGUUGUUAGCAAGGGCCGGGCAAGACCGGUGCCAGCCGCCGCGGUAACACCGGCGGCCCGAGUGGUAGCCGUUAUUAUUGGGUUUAAAGGGUCCGUAGCCGGCCUAUUAAGUCUCUUGGGAAAUCUGGCGACUCAAUCGUCAGGCGUCCAAGAGAUACUGGUAGGCUUGGGACCGGGAGAGGUGGGAGGUACUCCAGGGGUAGGGGUGAAAUCUCGUAAUCCUUGGGGGACCACCGAUGGCGAAGGCAUCCCACCAGAACGGGUCCGACGGUGAGGGACGAAAGCUGGGGGCACGAACCGGAUUAGAUACCCGGGUAGUCCCAGCCGUAAACGAUGCUCGCUAGGUGUCAGGUGCGGUGCGACCGCAUCUGGUGCCGCAGUGAAAACUUGAAGCGAGUCACCUGGGAAGUACGGUCGCAAGGCUGAAACUUAAAGGAAU